GACGUAGGGGGCCAGCGUUGUUCGGAAUUACUGGGUGUAAAGGGUUCGUAGGCGGUGUGGCAAGUCGGGAGUGAAAUCUCUGGGCUCAACUCAGAGACUGCUUCCGAAACUGCUGUGCUGGAGUGUGGGAGAGGCGCGUGGAAUUGCAGGUGUAGCGGUGAAAUGCGUAGAUAUCAGGAGGAACACCGGUGGCGAAGGCGGGUCUCUGGGCCGAAACUGACGCUGAGGAGCGAAAGCGUGGGGAGCAAACAGG
rnacentral:rRNA from 1 species